rnacentral:rRNA from 1 species
UACGUAGGGUGCGAGCGUUAAUCGGAAUUACUGGGCGUAAAGUGUGCGCAGGCGGCCGCGCAAGUCGAGUGUGAAAGCCCCGGGCUUAACUUGGAAUUGCGCUCGAAACUACGUGGCUGGAGUGUGGCAGAGGAAGGUGGAAUUCCAGGUGUAGCGGUGAAAUGCGUAGAGAUCUGGAGGAACACCGAUGGCGAAGGCAGCCUUCUGGGCCAACACUGACGCUCAUGCACGAAAGCGUGGGGAGCAAACAGG